rnacentral:rRNA from 1 species
UACGUAGGGUGCAAGCGUUGUCCGGAAUUAUUGGGCGUAAAGAGCUCGUAGGCGGUUUGUCGCGUCUGCUGUGAAAACUGGAGGCUCAACCUCCAGCCUGCAGUGGGUACGGGCAGACUAGAGUGCGGUAGGGGAGAUUGGAAUUCCUGGUGUAGCGGUGGAAUGCGCAGAUAUCAGGAGGAACACCGAUGGCGAAGGCAGAUCUCUGGGCCGUAACUGACGCUGAGGAGCGAAAAGCAUGGGGGAGCGAACAGG